UCCUAGUUUCCUAGGCAGUCCCAUCAGAGUGCUCCUUACGGAUAGCAACUAACGAUAGGGGUUUCGCUCGUUAGGGGACUUAACCCAACACCUCAAGGCACGAGCUGACGACAGCCAUGCAACACCUGUACUGGUUACACCCGAAGGCAAUCCCCCGGCUUUCACCGGGUUAAUUCCAGCAUGUCAAACCCUGGUAAGGUUCUUCGCGUUGCUUCGAAUUGAGCAACAUCCUCCACCGCUUGUGUGAGCCCCCGUCAAUUCCUUUGAGUUUUAGCCUUGCGGCCGUACUCCCCAGGCGGGGCACUUAAUGCGUUAGCUGCGGCACGGGGGGAGUCGACACCCCCCACACCUAGUGCCCAUCGUUUACGGCGUGGACUAC
rnacentral:misc_RNA from 1 species